rnacentral:rRNA from 1 species
UACGAAGGGGGCUAGCGUUGCUCGGAAUGACUGGGCGUAAAGGGCGCGUAGGCGGCGAUCAUAGUCAGAUGUGAAAUUCCUGGGCUUAACCUGGGGGCUGCAUUUGAUACGUGGUUGCUUGAGUGGGGAAGAGGGUCGUGGAAUUCCCAGUGUAGAGGUGAAAUUCGUAGAUAUUGGGAAGAACACCGGUGGCGAAGGCGG